AUCUUUGGUGAUUCAGCUUCAAUGAUUGGCUACAGGUUUCUUUCAUAAAGCUAGGUUACCAAAGCU
rnacentral:pre_miRNA from 15 species